AAUGGUCCUCGGUAGUGGUUUCCGCAAGGCGCCAAAGUUUUGCGUGAACUUCAAUCGACGAUUCAUU
ncrna:unclassified sequences Actino-pnp RNA